AGAGUUUGAUCAUGGCUCAGGAUGAACGCUAGCGGGAGGCCUAACACAUGCAAGCCGAGCGGUAGAGAUUCUUCGGAAUCUUGAGAGCGGCGUACGGGUGCGGAACACGUGUGCAACCUACCUUUAUCUGGAGGAUAGCCUUUCGAAAGGAAGAUUAAUACUCCAUAAUAUAUUGAUUGGCAUCAAUUGAUAUUGAAAGCUCUGGCGGAUAGAGAUGGGCACGCGCAAGAUUAGUUAGUUGGUGAGGUAACGGCUCACCAAGACGAUGAUCUUUAGGGGCCUGAGAGGGUGAUCCCCCACACUGGUACUGAGACACGGACCAGACUCCUACGGGAGGCAGCAGUGAGGAAUAUUGGUCAAUGGGUGCAAGCCUGAACCAGCCAUCCCGCGUGAAGGACGACUGCCCUAUGGGUUGUAAACUUCUUUUGUAUAGGGAUAAACCUACCCUCGUGAGGGUAGCUGAAGGUACUAUACGAAUAAGCACCGGCUAACUCCGUG
rnacentral:rRNA from 1 species